rnacentral:rRNA from 1 species
UACGAAGGGGGCUAGCGUUGCUCGGAAUCACUGGGCGUAAAGCGCACGUAGGCGGCUUUCUAAGUCAGGGGUGAAAUCCUGGAGCUCAACUCCAGAACUGCCUUUGAUACUGGAGAGCUUGAGUCCGGAAGAGGUGAGUGGAACUCCGAGUGUAGAGAUGAAAUUCGUAGAUAUUCGGAAGAACACCAGUGGCGAAGGCGGCUCACUGGUCCGGUACUGACGCUGAUGUGCGAAAGCGUGG